rnacentral:rRNA from 1 species
CACGGGGGGAGCAAGCGUUGUCCGGAUUUAUUGGGCGUAAAGAGCUCGUAGGCGGUUCGGCAAGUCAGCUGUGAAAUCUCCACGCUCAACGUGGAGGGGUCAGCUGAUACUGCUGUGACUCGAGUCCGGUAGGGGAGUGUGGAAUUCCCGGUGUAGCGGUGAAAUGCGCAGAUAUCGGGAGGAACACCAGUAGCGAAGGCGGCACUCUGGACCGGUACUGACGCUGAGGAGCGAAAGCGUGGGGAGCAAACAGG